rnacentral:rRNA from 1 species
AUUGAACGCUGGCGGCAUGCCUAACACAUGCAAGUCGAGCGGAAAAGGGCAGCUGGGUGCUGGAGUCAGGGGCGCGGGGGAGUGAAAUACCGAGGAAUGUCCGGGGGAGUGGGGGAUAACGGCCGGAGACGGGCGAUAAUACCGCAUAAGUCCUGAGGGAGAGAGGGGGGGAUCGUCGGACCUCGCGCUAGCAGAGGAGCCUAGGUCGGAUUAGGUAGUUGGUGGGGUAAAGGCUUACCAAGGCGACGAUCCGUAACUGGUCUGAGAGGAUGAUCAGUCACACUGGAACUGAGACACGGCCCAGACUCCUACGGGAGGCAGCAGUGGGGAAUUUUGGACAAUGGGCGCAAGCCUGAUCCAGCCAUGCCGCGUGCAUGAAGAAGGUCUUCGGGUUGUAAAGUACUUUUAGUUGGGACGAAAGGCAUUCUGUUAAUACCUUGCUGUCUUGACGUUACCGACAGAAUAAGCACCGGCUAACUACGUG